UACGUAGGGGGCAAGCGUUGUCCGGAAUCAUUGGGCGUAAAGAGCGUGUAGGCGGCCCGAUAAGUCCGCUGUGAAAGUCCAGGGCUCAACCCUGGAAUGCCGGUGGAUACUGUCGGGCUCGAAUCCGGAAGAGGUGAGUGGAAUUCCUGGUGUAGCGGUGAAAUGCGCAGAUAUCAGGAGGAACACCGGUGGCGAAGGCGGGUCUCUGGGCCGAUAUUGACGCUGAGGAGCGAAAGCGUGGGGAGCGAACAGG
rnacentral:rRNA from 1 species